AGCGAACGCUGGCGGCAGGCUUAACACAUGCAAGUCGAACGGGCAUAGCAAUAUGUCUGUGGCAGACGGGUGAGUAACGCGUGGGAACGUACCUUUUGGUUCGGAACAACACAGGGAAACUUGUGCUAAUACCAGAUAAGCCCUUACGGGGAAAGAUUUAUCGCCGAAAGAUCGGCCCGCGUCUGAUUAGCUAGUUGGUAGGGUAAUGGCCUACCAAGGCGACGAUCAGUAGCUGGUCUGAGAGGAUGAUCAGCCACAUUGAGACUGAGACACGGCCCAAACUCAUACGGGAGGAAGCAGUGGGGAAUAUUGGACAAUGGGCGAGAGCGUGGUCCAGCCAUGACGCGUGAGUGAUGAAGGCCCUAGCGUUGUAAAGCUCUCUUGUGCGGGAAGAUAAUGACGGUACCGCAAGAAUAAGCCCCGGCUAACUUCGUG
rnacentral:rRNA from 1 species